ensembl:lncRNA
CGCGGCCCGAGUGCGGGGAAGCUCAGCGCGCGGCCCAGGGGCCACCGCAUCCCGCGGGGCCGCAACGCGCAGGUCCCCGGCCGGGAGGAGCAGCGCCGUCCUUUCUGUCCGGCUUGAACCACACCUUUGCUUCGGCCUCGGGUCGGUGUUCUGAGGUCCAGGGCGAAGACUCUAAUGAAGAACAAAUCUGCUGAUGAGUAUGUGACAGCCAUUUGAAUCAAGAUAUUUGCAAACUUCAGGCUCAAUCGCAACGUGUUUCUGUAUACACAAUCAUGCAUAUGAUAUACGAUUUUGAAACAAAAGUGAACUUUCUUUCCUUUGAUAACACCCACUGAAAUGCAACAAGAAUUGUCAGCUGCAAGCAACCAGUUGCUAUUCUGGCUCUAACGUGCUUAUGCAAUUAAUAGUCCAGCAGUCUGGUCCAAGGCCCCUCUUUGCUUGGAGCAAGAGUGUUAAUGAAGCUUAGAGGCCAAGCCUUUUAUUUAUAGAUAUAGUGUCCUCUUGAAAUGUAACAACAUACAAAAAAAGUAAUAAAACAGAGAGG